rnacentral:rRNA from 1 species
CGGAGCGGGAAGAGCUCAAAUUUAUAAUCUGGCACCUUCGGUGUCCGAGUUGUAAUCUCUAGAAAUGUUUUCCGCGUUGGACCGCACACAAGUCUGUUGGAAUACAGCGGCAUAGUGGUGAGACCCCCGUAUAUGGUGCGGACGCCCAGCGCUUUGUGAUACAUUUUCGAAGAGUCGAGUUGUUUGGGAAUGCAGCUCAAAUUGGGUGGUAAAUUCCAUCUAAAGCUAAAUAUUGGCGAGAGACCGAUAGCGAACAAGUACCGUGAGGGAAAGAUGAAAAGCACUUUGGAAAGAGAGUUAACAGUACGUGAAAUUGUUGGAAGGGAAACGCUUGAAGUCAGACUUGCUUGCCGAGCAAUCGGUUUGCAGGCCAGCAUCAGUUUUCCGGGAUGGAUAAUGGUAGAGAGAAGGUAGCAGUUUCGGCUGUGUUAUAGCUCUCUGCUGGAUACAUCUUGGGGGACUGAGGAACGCAGUGUGCCUUUGGCGGGGGUUUCGACCUCUUCACACUUAGGAUGCUGGUGGAAUGGCUUUAAACGACCCGUCUUGAAACACG